UCCCCAUCUGUAGCAGUGCCUGCAAUGGCAU
rfam:Tauraco erythrolophus contig112430, whole genome shotgun sequence.